UUUAAUUUUUUAUGCCCGUUUCAAAAUGCGGUCAAAACGGCGGGAAUGACCGUUCCUAGCUAGUGGUUGAAUCUUGGAAUUUUUUUGGUGUUUCUCUGAUUAAAUAGAUACUUAUGUACCUAGAAAUGAUUUUUGGAAAAAAUAAAUAGCAAAAUACAAGGCAGCUACAGUUCAAAUUUGACCCGCUUCCACCUGAAUCGGCGGAAAUUUGUCUUUUUUUACGAGAGGUGGAUCAAAACUUUUUACACCCAACCAUUUGGUCAAUUGUGCAUUAAAUAUGUCCUAGUAUUUUAGAAAAUUUAUUUGGUCCAAUUUUGCAACAAUUAUUUGGGAGGUCCUUCACAAAAAAACCUCCUUUUGGGCACUCGAAAAAUGGAAAAUGGUUUUUUCGUCCAAAGAAAACGAAACCUUCCUUAAGCAACAUUGUUUGCCAUUCCAAUAUGCACCAUUGUGCACAAUAUUAGAUCAUUUGAACAAACUAUGCCAUGAAUGUGGCCAUAAGAUUGAUCAUUUGGCUUGAAAGCCAUUGAUCUCCACACGUGAUAGCUCGUUUUUGAGAACACUUUUUUAAAAUAAUUGCCGUAUUAGAAGUUUGUUAUUUUUCCUGGGAACUUGGCCACAUAUAAUGACACAAUGCGAAGGUUUCCCAAUUUUUUAAUUUUUUUUAAUUUUUUAUGCCCGUUUCAAAAUGCGAUCAAAACGGCGGGAAUGACCGUUCCUAGCUAGUGGUUGAAUCUUGGAAUUUUUUUGGUGUUUCUCUGAUUAAAUAGAUACUUAUGUACCUAGAAAUGAUGGAAAAAAUAAAUAGCAAACUACAGUUCAAAUUUGACGCGCUUCCACCUGAAUCGGCAGAAAUUAGUCUUUUUCACGAGAGGUGGAUCAAAACUUUUUACACCCAACCAUUUGGUCAAUUGUGCAUUAAAUAUGUCCUAUAUUUUAGAAAAUUGAUUUGGUCCAAUUUUGCAACAAUUAUUUGGGAGGUCCUUCACAAAAAACCUCCUUUUGGGCACUUGAAAAAUGGAAAAUGGUUUUUUCGUCCAAAGAAAAUGAAAACUUCCUUAGGCAACAUUGUUUGCAUUCCAAUAUGCACCCUUGUGCACAAUAUGAGAUCAUUUGAACAAACUAUGCCAUGAAUGUGGCCAUAAGAUUGAUCAUUUGGCUUGAAAGCCAUUGAUCUCCACAAGUGAUAGCUCGUUUCUGAGAACACUUUUUUAAAAUAAUUGUCGUAUUUCAAGUUUGUUAUUUUUCCUGGGAACUUGGCCACAUAUAAUGACACACUGUGAAGGUUUCCCAAUUUUUUAAUUUUUUUUGAAUUUUUUGUGCCCGUUUGAAAAUGCGGUCAAAACGGCGGGAAUGACCGUUCCUAGCUAGUGGUUGAAUCUUGGUUUUUUUGGUUUUUCUCUGAUUAAAUAGAUACUUAUGUACCUAGCAACGAUUUUUGGAAAAAAUAAAUAGCAAACUACAAGGCAACUACAUUUCAAAUUUGACCCGCUUCCACCUGAAUCGGCGAAAAUUUGUCUUUUUAACAAGAGGUGGAUCAAAACUUUUUACACCCAACAAUUUGGUCAAUUGUGCAUUAAAUAUGUCCUAGUAUUUUAUAAAAUUGAUUUGGUCCAAUUUUGCAAUAAUUAUUGGGGAGGUCCUUCACAAAAAACCUCCUUUGGGGCACUCGAAAAAUGGAAAAUGGUUUUUUCGUCCAAAGAAAAUGAAAACUUCCUUAGGCAACAUUGUUUGCCAUUCCAAUAUGCACCUUUGUGCACAAUAUGAGAUCAUUUGAACAAACUAUGCCAUGAAUGUGGCCAUAAGAUUGAUCAUUUGGCUUGAAAGCCAUGAAUCUUCACGCAUGAUAGCUCAUUUCUGAGAACACUUAUUUAAAAUAAUUGCCGUAUUAGAAGUUUGUUAUUUUUCCUGGGAACUUGGCCACAUAUAAUGACACAAUGCGAAGGUUUCCCAAUUUUUCGUUUUUUUUGAAUUUUUUAUGCCCGUUUCAAAAUGCGGUCAAAACGGCAGGAAUGACCGUUCCUAGCUAGUGGUUGAAUCUUGGAAUUUUUUUGGUGUUUCUCCGAUUAAAUAGAUACUUAUGUACCUAGAAAUGAUUUUUGAAAAAAUAAAUAGCAAACUACAAGGCAGCCAUAGUUCAAAUUUGACCCGCUUUCACCUGAAUCGGCGGAAAUUUGUCUUUUUCACGAGAGGUGGAUCACAACUUUUUACACCCAACCAUUUGGUCAAUUUUGCGUUAAAUAUGUCUUAGUAUUUUAGAAAAUUGAUUUGGUUCAAUUUUGCAACAAUUAUUUGGGAGGUCCUAAACAAAAAAACCUCCUUUUGGGCACUCGAAAAAUGGAAAAUGGUUUUUUCGUACAAAGAAAAUGAAAACUUCCUUAGGCAACAUUGUUUGCCAUUCCAAUAUGCACCCUUGUUCACAAUAUGAGAUCAUUUGAACAAACUAUGCCGUGAAUGUGGCCAUAAGAUUGAUCACUUGGCUUGAAAGCCAUGAAUCUUCACGCAUGAUAGCUCGUUUCUGAGAACACUUUCUUAAAAUAAUUGCCGUAUUAGAAGUUUAUUAUUUUUCCUGGAAACUUGGUCACAC
rnacentral:lncRNA from 1 species